rnacentral:lncRNA from 1 species
ACAAAUCCUAAAUCACAGCGGGGUCACCCUUUCUUUUGCUCUCAGUGCACCAUCAUAACUCUUCCACCUUAACUAUCAGAGGAAUGCUGCCUAUGCCUCUUAUCAGGCCUGGGUCAAAGGAAUCUCUGGGGCCAUUCUGUAAACCAAAGUGGUUCUGCGUGACUCUGCUUUUUGUCUUCCACUGCAUAUGUGAUGCUACCUUGAAAGAAGAGGCUAAAAAUCCCCCUGAAAGCAGCUUCUCUGUUUGCAGUGAAAUAUAAAGAGCUCUAGAGAGCAUAAUGUUUGCUCCUUUCUUUGUCUUGACUUCAUGAGUGACCAAGGUGAUAUAAUUUCAAAGAAAAGGAGAACAUGGU